ACAAAAACCCUGCUGCCUUAGUACAUAUACAGUCAGCACGAAGUGAGUUUGAUUUAUUGAUUCCUAUCAGCUAAGGAGAGGGAGGCAGAUCUGAUGAAAACCGACCUAAGGAAAAACAGCUUUUUAUGUGCAGUUGUGGAAAACAACUCACCCUGGGAAGCAUCUAAUGCAGAGUCUGGUUACUUGGGGGUGUUUAUAGUAUUGUUAUCUGGGAUGAUUUUUAAAACCAUUCUUCCCUUUAAUUUUUUUUUCUCCCAAUAAGUGUUUGUCUGGUCACUGUUCUUUAAAUAUAAGUUUGCAAAACAGCUGUGAAAAGUAACAUGUGCCCCAUUGUGACCACUAGAGGGCACGAUGUGAACACAAAUUGUUCCAGCAGUCCAGACUAUGAGGGAUGCUAGAGGAAUAACAAACUCAAGUCAGAUGUAAGGUGAUGUGCUGUGAAAUACAGAGACUGGGUAUCAUAUGGAUCCAUUAGUUUGCAUAUUUACAGAGCACCUGACAUUCCUCUAUUGUGCUGGGCAGCUAUAAACAGUUCCCUUUACAGGUUAGAGUCAGUUCUCUAGGAUCUGUCAGUGAAGACCUCCAAGAUGACAGUUCUCACUCGCUGUCUCUGGUUACUGCUUCUCUGGGCUCAGGGCUCCAGGGGGCAGAUUGUGCUGACUCAGACUCCAGAAUCCCUGGCAGUGUCUCCAGGAGACAGAGUCACCAUCAACUGCAAAGCCAGCUCCAGUGUUAGCACCAGCUACAUGGCCUGGUACCAACAGAAAUCAGGGCAAGCUCCUAAGCUCCUUAUCUACAGCACUUCCACCCGUCCCUCUGGGAUCCCAGACCGGUUCAGUGGCAGUGGGUCUGGCACUGACUACACAUUCACAAUCAGCCGGGUUGAAGCCGAUGAUGCUGGAGAUUAUUACUGCCAGCAGAGUCACAGCUACCCUCUCGCAGUGAUAAAGACCAGUACAAAAACCUCCCUGCCAUUGUUUCACUUACGUAGAAAUCACAGCUUCUAUUUAACUGUUCCUGUUUCUGUGAAAAUCAAUAGGAUAGUGAUGGAACGAGGACAGCGACUGUUACAAAUGGGAGCAGGAUGGUUACCAGGAGGCUGCAGGGAGAGUACUGGGUCCAUUGUUGUUGGAGAUUGUCAGCUUUUGCCGUGGUGGGGCUGGGCUUCAAUAGCUCUUAAAGAAGCCAUGGGAAGCCCAUGCUCAUGUAACUAUUUCCUGAUGUUGACUGUCUAGCUACUACUGACCAGUGUCUCAUCUACUGGUGAGAAGGGUUCAGCAGGACAAUUCUGGCAGUUUCUUGAUUCCUCUGAUUUCCUUGACUCAGGUCAGUCUGGCUAUAGGCCGGAGCCUGGGGUAGAAAUGGCACUGGUUGCACUGGCUGAUCAUCUCCUCCCAGCCAUGGACAAAGAGAAAGGGUGAAAUCCUGGCCCUCUUGAUGUCAGUGGGAGUUUUGCCGUUGAUUUUAAUGGAGAUAAUUGAGGAGACACAGGCUGUCAUGCAUUCAGCUUGCUGGUGCCACCCAGUUCUAAAUCUCCAUCA